UACAGAGGGGGCAAGCGUUGUUCGGAAUUACUGGGCGUAAAGGGCGCGUAGGCGGCCUUCUAAGUCAGACGUGAAAUCCCUCGGCUCAACCGGGGAACUGCGUCUGAGACUGGAAGGCUUGAAUCCGGGAGAGGGAUGUGGAAUUCCAGGUGUAGCGGUGAAAUGCGUAGAUAUCUGGGGGAACACCGGUGGCGAAGGCAGCUCGCUGGGACGUUACUGACGCUGAGACGCGAAAGCGUGGGGAGCAAACAGG
rnacentral:rRNA from 1 species